rnacentral:tRNA from 1 species
GCUUUCGGGGUGUAGCGGUCAGCAUGCUUAAUGCGUAACCGAGAGGUCCGUGGUUCGAUUCCCGGCGAAGGCG